CGGGCCGUGGCGCAGUCUGGUAGCGCGCUUGACUGGGGGUCAAGAGGUCGUGGGUUCAAGUCCCACCGGCCCGACCA
rnacentral:tRNA from 1 species